UAUGACCAUAACACACUGAAACCCCAGUUCCUGUAUGAUCCCCGAAGUUAAGCAACAUCAAGCCUGGUCAGUACUUAUAUCAGUGACUAGUUGGGAAUACCAAGUAUAGUA